UUUAAAUUACUGUUUGUACAUUCGAGCAGUGGAUCAUGACGAACACACACAAAGAAGAGAUUCAACUGAAUUGUUCAUUUCAUGUAUGAACCAUUCAAAUUUCAAUGAAAGAGUCUGAAGAGCACUCUGGGCUAUUCCAAUGACUUCGUAGCAGGUGGAGACAAACGAUAUUUGAGAUGUGUGCAUUUCCCAAACACAAACUGCAUUACCAAGAAAAGAUAAGCAAAGGCUGCCUGCUUCUUUUUAAUAACUUUUUAUAAUGAUACAGUUUGAUAAUUUUUAGUUUUUGGAUGCCAGUCACUUAUGUGACUCCAUUAAGCAAAAA